GACGAAGGGCGUGGGUGUUAUUCGUUUUGAUUGGGUGUAAAGGGUAGGUAGGCGGUUUCUCGUUUUUCUUGGACAAAAUCGCGGAGAAAGUUCCUACGCGAAUUCCUUUUAAUAAAAGAAUCUUGUGUUGGGUAGGGGUUUAGGCAAGUUCGCUUUAGUAGGGGUAGAAUCCAUCAAUAUGCGAACGAACGUCAGUAGGCGAAGGCGCUUUUCCUGACCCAACAGACGCUGAGCUACGGAAGCUUAGGUAGCAAACGGG
rnacentral:rRNA from 1 species